GAGAGGCCAGAGGCAAUAAGGACUGCUAAUCCCUAUCUCCGCAGUUAA
rnacentral:tRNA from 1 species